GUGAGGGGGCCGAUUUGACUGAGAAUCCCAUGCCCUGCCUCUUGGGCUCAGAACCACGUUGCUCUGGGUCCUUCCCGGCACCUGGGAGGAGAGGGUUGGAAGAAGUCCACAUCUGGUGAUUAUUUUCAUAUUCUAAUUUUUAACUUAUCCAAAUAUAGCAAGGAUGUUCUUUUUCCCCAUAGUCAACUUUCAAGCCCUCAUCCCUCUUGGGGAAGAGAUCUUUGACAAAGACAUCCAAAAGAGACUUUUUUUUUUUUUGCAAACAAUACGUAUCAAAGUUACACUGCUUGAGGAGGCCAACCUGGCAAGAGAGGGUUGAUAGACGCCCCUUUCUGAGGCUCCCAGGAAACUACAGUCCCCUAAGCCAUGCAGGGGUCUUGGAGUUUUCCCUGCAGAUGGAACUGGGCUGCGGGCAGGUGGAGGGAGGCCUGGGUCGGUCCCAGAAGUUGGAUGCCGGGUUGUGGGUGAAAGAGGGAGGUGGCUAUAUCCACACUGACCUCGGCCAUCAUGCAACUGUUUUUUUUCUUAUCAAAUACUUUUGAUUGAUCCUACACUCAGAAAUACACUUCUCUAGCAUCAUUCUUAAUGGAAUUCCAUGGGAUAAAGUCACCCUUUUAAAUUUAAAUUUUUAACUCCAUAGCUUGUCCUUCUAGGACACUUGCAGUGGGUGCCUCAGACCCUCUCUGUGUGGUUUGCUGAGCUGGGAAAUGGCCCCUGAGAAGGAAGCAGAGGCAGACUGGACUGAUAUAAGUCCUUGCUCCCAGGGGUCGAUUUUGGCCCCAGCCCCGGCUCCCCACAGUGGGGUGGGUCCCAGGCGCCCCUAUUUGCAGUCACGAUACACACUCGGCGUUUCAGCCAACACACACAAUUAUACUGUCCUUUAAUUAGAACACUCUUUUUAUACCAGGGAAAACCCAGCUGCUUGUCAACGAAAACAUAUUUGUACCAUGGCCUUAAACACACACACACAUAAAUUGCCAAUUAUUCCCCAUUCAGAGACUCUGGCAAGACACAGGGGCGAGCUGUUUGCUUUCCCUUAGGCCAAAUUAAGACUCGCCUUUCAUGGCAACUUAUUUUUGGGAGUAAUUUUCCACCUCAUUUAAUUAGGCUAAUUGAUUCAGCAGUUCUGUGAAGGGGCACCGCAUCCCUGGGUGCUUUGGGAAAAUUAUUCCUGUGCUCUUUGGACUCCCUUGGAGCAACGACUUGAUUAACUUUCCUGUUUUCAAGCUCAGGUCAGUCCAGACCCUGUGCAUCUGACUUUGCCGCCCACGGUAAGUAUGUGUGGAGAGCCUCUAAUUUGCCGAGACCUUUGAAGAGAGCUGGGUGCUGAGCCUGGGGGUGAGCCUGUCCAAGGAGCAAGAGAGAGUGCUGUCAGAACUGAAUCUGGGGAGAUAGUGAACUGAGCGGAUUUCAGUGCCACUAAGAAUUGUCCUUCUCUUGCACUAUUGUUUGGAUUUUAUAGGAUCCAUUCUGUAGGCCAUGCUCUACAACAUCUAGUUCAUGGAUUGUUAUGAGUGAUUUUUAAGAAAAAUAAAUAAGGAAGAAGUACUUAGACCUUGUUAAAAUUGCAAAUGAGUGUCUACCCUCUUUUCCAGGUUCUCCUAUCCCCCAACCCCUUUGACUCCCCGUCUGAUGGGCAUUUUUAUACGGAAAAGAAUACAGAUCUUCCUCUCAAAAAAUUGUUUUUUGAUUUUCUAUGUGUCUCAGGGAGUGUUAAGCAUAAAAGGGUGGCAACACAAAGGAGAAGGACCACUUAACAUCCAAAGUGCGUUGAGGCUGCACUGUGAUCAGGCACAGCCCUUGACUGUACAUGAAUCCAAAAUAUGUCUUCAUUCACUUAAUCCAUAUUCCAAUCUUAUGAGCAAAGGACAGCGGUUACCCCCAUGCACAGAUGAGGAAACUGGGGCACGAGAGGUUAAGGGGCCAGCCCAAAGUUACACACCUGGCCAGCGUGGAGGCAGGACUCAAACACACUGCUUGUCACCACUGUGCUAGGACAUCCCCGUGGGUGCAGAAAAACCAUGACCCAUUCGUAAGCUACGAGGGAGCGACAGAGGUUCCACUUCUGCAUUGAUAUGUGAUAAUUCAGUGCGUUGCAUAAACGUGGCUCCAAUGUGCCCUUUUGCCAACCUCAAAGCAAGGGUGGUCAGGCCACCCAGGGCAAUGGGCCAUGAAAUUCUUCAUGCUCUGGGAUUUUUGUUUUCUUGAAACUUUGACACAGAGCUUUCAUUGAGAAGUAGAAACAAAGAAUGAAGCGGUGGUUCCGAGCACCACAAGUAGCUAGACCCUCGUGGGGGAGCAGUGUGAGAACACGGAAAGCACCCUGGGGUGACUCAAGGAGCUGCCCUUUAGCUGACGAGAGGCUUACUGUAAACUGUGGAGGUAAAGGGAAUUUCAAGGGAGGGAAAAUGAGCUGGCAGAAAAAACAUCCUUUCUGAACGCAUCCUAGUUUCUAGUCCAACUUGUCUCAAAGGCCAUCCGGGACCAGCAACCCUGCCUAACCCAAGCAUUUUCACUCCGUCUGACACUGAACUGAGAGCUGAAAAAUCACCUGGGGGAGAAAAGUUGUUCGGAAUAAUGAGAAAGCAUCGGGCCAAAUGUGGCCCAAACUUCACCAUUUCUUAGUUUCAAGUCGAAUAUAAACCUUUGGGGGCUCAGCCUUUUUCCUCUUGGCAAACCACAACAUCCUAUUUCU